rnacentral:rRNA from 1 species
UACGAAGGGGGCUAGCGUUGCUCGGAAUUACUGGGCGUAAAGCGCACGUAGGCGGCUCUUUAAGUCGGGGGUGAAAUCCUGGAGCUCAACUCCAGAACUGCCUUCGAUACUGAAGAGCUUGAGUCCGGGAGAGGUGAGUGGAACUGCGAGUGUAGAGGUGAAAUUCGUAGAUAUUCGCAAGAACACCAGUGGCGAAGGCGGCUCACUGGCCCAUAACUGACGCUGAGGCACGAAAGCGUGGGAGCAAACAGG